rnacentral:rRNA from 2 species
CUGGCGGCGUGCCUAUACAUGCAAGUUUAACGAACUCUGGUAUUGAUUGGUGCUUGCAUCAUGAUUUACAUUUGAGUGAGUGGCGAACUGGUGAGUAACACGUGGGAAACCUGCCCAGAAGCGGGGGAUAACACCUGGAAACAGAUGCUAAUACCGCAUAACAACUUGGACCGCAUGGUCCGAGUUUGAAAGAUGGCUUCGGCUAUCACUUUUGGAUGGUCCCGCGGCGUAUUAGCUAGAUGGUGAGGUAACGGCUCACCAUGGCAAUGAUACGUAGCCGACCUGAGAGGGUAAUCGGCCACAUUGGGACUGAGACACGGCCCAAACUCCUACGGGAGGCAGCAGUAGGGAAUCUUCCACAAUGGACGAAAGUCUGAUGGAGCAACGCCGCGUGAGUGAAGAAGGGUUUCGGCUCGUAAAACUCUGUUGUU